GCCGUGGUACGAGUUAACUUGCUUCCGUAUCUUAUCACCGUAAUUCUAGGAGGAACCCUAAACUGGACCCCUGUUGUGUUCACUUAUCGUUUACACUGACCUUCGGUGCGAAGCUAUAUAUAGAACGGCGGACCAGUUUAGGAGGAACCCCAUUUCUUACUCUUUAGUUAUUGAAGUUCCUUUGGGUCAGAUGGCAUGACUCCUUUCCGUACACACUCCUCUGUUUACAUUGAGAUCGUUCUUAAUAUAAUACGACGUUUAUCGGCAUUAACGAGUUAAUUCUUCU
rnacentral:lncRNA from 1 species